UUCUGGACUUGCUCUGCAUGUCGGGCUCCCUGCACUUUUGGUGCGGCCAACCGAACAUGGGGCAGUCUCUUCAUUCUCCCUCCAUGCGUGAAAUCUGUUGUGGUUGGGAUGGUUCGGUUGCCUGUGCGGAUCUACCCUCUUGUGGGUAGCGAAGUCGUCCCUUGAUGGAUAUUUGCUUGCCUUUAUGACGUAUUUUGUCGUUUGGGCAGCCGAAAUGUUGGUGAAAUCCUUGUGUCGGUGCGUAUUCGAAUGAUGUGUUGCUAUCACUUGGAUUUUUGCCGGCUCUCACGGAUGCGGUGCCUAUUGCUAGCUCUGCGGGACUUUGCCCCGCAGACUUCGGGAGGUCCCUUGUACGAAUCACUGCUCUUAUACGCCGUUUGUCGUGUUGCCUGUGGCGACACGCAGAUCGUGUUCUGUCGUGUUGUAGUUAACGACAUGCCAGAACAAAGUGUCCGGAGCGUGCUCGCGUGCAUAUGGAUUGCCUCUCGUUCGUAUGAGCAGCGAUUUUCGGUUUGCGUCUUGUGAAGGUUCGCCUUUUUGGGUUGAUGCUGGAGCUGACGUGCCGGCUCUCGUUAAGACGUGCUACUGUUGAU
rnacentral:misc_RNA from 1 species